UACGUAGGGGGCUAGCGUUGUCCGGAAUCAUUGGGCGUAAAGCGCGUGUAGGCGGCCCGGUAAGUCCGCUGUGAAAGUCGGGGGCUCAACCCUCGGAUGCCGGUGGAUACUGUCGGGCUCGAGUACGGAAGAGGCGAGUGGAAUUCCCGGUGUAGCAGUGAAAUGCGUAGAUAUCGGGAGGAACACCCGUGGCGAAGGCGGCUCACUGGGCCGGUCCUGACGCUGAGACGCGAAGGCGUGGGGAGCGAACGGG
rnacentral:rRNA from 1 species